GACAUAGAAUGAUGUGACAACAAUAGAACUAGGCAUUAUUUAUGGACAAGCUCCAAAAGUACGAAAGAAUGAUGUAAGAGCAUAUUCGAGAAAUAAAUUAUAAAACAACCAGACCAACUUUACAAAUAAAUGCAACAAAUCAUCCAUAGCAUACAGAAUUACAGGACUAAUAGACAAGAUGAUAACAAGAUGAAGUAUUAGAAUUCCUCUAAGCAAUGUGCUAAUUUACAAAUGCUUACACGCUUAGGAAUCUGGUUGGUAAAUAUAUAAUGUAAUUCUACUCUUUAUU
rnacentral:lncRNA from 1 species